rnacentral:rRNA from 1 species
UCGGGAACCGUGAGACAGGUGCUGCAUGGCUGUCGUCAGCUCGUGUUGUGAAAUGUUGGGUUAAGUCCCGCAACGAGCGCAACCCUUAUCCUUUGUUGCCAGCGGUCCGGCCGGGAACUCAAAGGAGACUGCCAGUGAUAAACUGGAGGAAGGUGGGGAUGACGUCAAGUCAUCAUGGCCCUUACGACCAGGGCUACACACGUGCUACAAUGGCGCAUACAAAGAGAAGCGACCUCGCGAGAGCAAGCGGACCUCAUAAAGUGCGUCGUAGUCCGGAUUGGAGUCUGCAACUCGACUCCAUGAAGUCGGAAUCGCUAGUAAUCGUGGAUCAGAAUGCCACGGUGAAUACGUUCCCGGGCCUUGUACACACCGCCCGUCACACCAUGGGAGUGGGUUGCAAAA